UGGCUUGUAUACCAUCUCCAUUAGGGGAUCCAUUAGAACCAUUGGACAACCACCUGCUCUCUCGAUCUACUUGUCUCUUGUAUUCUUGCAUCUUUUCAUUAAGAGCUGCUUUCUCAUAGUUGGAGCGUUCUCGAGACUGCUGUGCGUAAGUCAGGACCUGAUUGAUAUAUGGCUCCAUCUGAUGCAAAAGCUCAUACCCCUGUUUGAAAUAACGAAGAUGAGCAUCCAUUGUACCACUAACUGCUUCCAGGAAUUCAAACCGUUUCUUUGCUUCCACAUUAGAAAGAGCGGUUACCAAACUGAAUCGAGCUUGCUCAAAAGUUGAUCUUGCAUUAUGAAGUUCCUCCUCCAGUACACUGGCAACAUCACUUUUUGUGCCUUUUCUUAGUGACAAAAACUUCUCGCGGGCCUGAUCAUAAAUUAGGCUUGCCUUGUCAAAGCGCUUCCGAGCUUCCUUGACAUCUUGCAGAUCUAUGUUAACAAACUGCAGUAAACGAUCAUUCAGCAUGUGCUCAACCUGUGACCGAAGAACUUCCUUAUAAGUCCCGAUUUCCCUCAGUGCAAUAGUAAAUUUAGUCAUUACAGGGCCUCCAAAUGCAACACUGAUGGGAUCAUUGUGCCCCCCACCAAAUGUUUCCAGGGCGCUCGCGAAAGCAAUAUCUCCAUCAUAUCCCUCUCCAAGUCCCUCCGUAUAUUUUCGACAUCCUUUAUAAAAUUUCAAGCUUCUUUCUCUUAGUGAUUCAGCACUUUCUUCAAAACAUUGCAGCUGUUUACGGAACAUGGGAGAGUCAUCGAGUUUACCAAAAUGCAUGUUUACACAACUGAUUCUUCUUUUCUACACCAAUUCUCAAUUAACA
rnacentral:misc_RNA from 1 species